AUUGAACGCUGGCGGCAGGCCUAACACAUGCAAGUCGAACGGUAGCACAGAGAGCUUGCUCUCGGGUGACGAGUGGCGGACGGGUGAGUAACGUCUGGGAAACUGCCCGAUGGAGGGGGAUAACUACUGGAAACGGUAGCUAAUACCGCAUAACGUCGCAAGACCAAAGUGGGGGACCUUCGGGCCUCACACCAUCGGAUGUGCCCAGAUGGGAUUAGCUAGUAGGUGGGGUAAUGGCUCACCUAGGCGACGAUCCCUAGCUGGUCUGAGAGGAUGACCAGCCACACUGGAACUGAGACACGGUCCAGACUACUACGGGAGGCGGCAGUGGGGAAUAUUGCACAAUGGGCGCAAGCCUGAUGCAGCCAUGCCGCGUGUAUAAAGAAGGCCUUCGGGUUGUAAAGUACUUUCAGCGGGGAGGAAGGCGGUGAAGUUAAUAACUUCACCGAUUGACGUUACCCGCAGAAGAAGCACCGGCUAACUCCGUGCCAGCCGCCGCGGUAA
rnacentral:rRNA from 1 species